GACGAACGCUGGCGGCGUGCUUAACACAUGCAAGUCGAACGGAAAGGCCCUGCUUUUGUGGGGUGCUCGAGUGGCGAACGGGUGAGUAACACGUGAGUAACCUGCCCUUGACUUUGGGAUAACUUCAGGGAACUGGGGCUAAUACCGGAUAGGAGCUCCUGCUGCAUGGUGGGGGUUGGAAAGUUUCGGCGGUUGGGGAUGGACUCGCGGCUUAUCAGCUUGUUGGUGGGGUAGUGGCUUACCAAGGCUUUGACGGGUAGCCGGCCUGAGAGGGUGACCGGCCACAUUGGGACUGAGAUACGGCCCAGACUCCUACGGGAGGCAGCAGUGGGGAAUAUUGCACAAUGGGCGGAAGCCUGAUGCAGCAACGCCGCGUGCGGGAUGACGGCCUUCGGGUUGUAAACCGCUUUCGCCUGUGACGAAGCGUGAGUGACGGUAAUGGGUAAAGAAGCACCGGCUAACUACAUG
rnacentral:rRNA from 1 species